rnacentral:rRNA from 1 species
GGGUUGUGAGGUUAAGCGACUAAGCGUACACGGUGGAUGCCCUGGCAGUCAGAGGCGAUGAAGGACGUGCUAAUCUGCGAAAAGCGCCGGCGAGGUGAUAUGAACCUUUGACCCGUCGAUGUCCGAAUGGGGAAACCCAGUGUGUUCCGACACACUAUCGUUAACUGAAUACAUAGGUUAACGAGGCGAACCGGGGGAACUGAAACAUCUAAGUACCCCGAGGAAAAGAAAUCAACCGAGAUUCCCCCAGUAGCGGCGAGCGAACGGGGAGCAGCCCGGAGUCUGAAUCAGCUUGUGUGUUAGUGGAACGGUCUGGAAAGUCCGACGGUACAGGGUGAUAGUCCCGUACACGAAAAUACACUUGCUGUGAACUCGAAGAGUAGGGCGGGACACGUGGUAUCCUGUCUGAAUAUGGGGGGACCAUCCUCCAAGGCUAAAUACUCCUGACUGACCGAUAGUGAACCAGUACCGUGAGGGAAAGGCGAAAAGAACCCCGGCGAGGGGAGUGAAAAAGAACCUGAAACCGUGUACGUACAAGCAGUGGGAGCACCUUCGGGUGUGACUGCGUACCUUUUGUAUAAUGGGUCAGCGACUUAUAUUCUGUAGCAAGGUUAACCGUAUAGGGGAGCCGAAGGGAAACCGAGUCUUAACUGGGCGUUAAGUUGCAGGGUAUAGACCCGAAACCCGGUGAUCUAGCCAUGGGCAGGUUGAAGGUUGGGUAACACUAACUGGAGGACCGAACCGACUAAUGUUGAAAAAUUAGCGGAUGACCUGUGGCUGGGGGUGAAAGGCCAAUCAAACCGGGAGAUAGCUGGUUCUCCCCGAAAGCUAUUUAGGUAGCGCCUCGUGAACUCAUCUUCGGGGGUAGAGCACUGUUUCGGCUAGGGGGCCAUCCCGGCUUACCAACCCGAUGCAAACUACGAAUACCGAAGAAUGUUAUCACGGGAGACACACGGCGGGUGCUAACGUCCGUCGUGAAGAGGGAAACAACCCAGACCGCCAGCUAAGGUCCCAAAGUCAUGGUUAAGUGGGAAACGAUGUGGGAAGGCACAGACAGCCAGGAUGUUGGCUUAGAAGCAGCCAUCAUUUAAAGAAAGCGUAAUAGCUCACUGGUCGAGUCGGCCUGCGCGGAAGAUGUAACGGGGCUAAACCAUGCACCGAAGCUGCGGCAGCGACACUAUGUGUUGUUGGGUAGGGGAGCGUUCUGUAAGCCGUUGAAGGUGUGCUGUGAGGCAUGCUGGAGGUAUCAGAAGUGCGAAUGCUGACAUAAGUAACGAUAAAGCGGGUGAAAAGCCCGCUCGCCGGAAGACCAAGGGUUCCUGUCCAACGUUAAUCGGGGCAGGGUGAGUCGACCCCUAAGGCGAGGCCGAAAGGCGUAGUCGAUGGGAAACAGGUUAAUAUUCCUGUACUUGGUGUUACUGCGAAGGGGGGACGGAGAAGGCUAUGUCAGCCGGGCGACGGUUGUCCCGGUUUAAGCAUGUAGGCGGAGGUUCCAGGUAAAUCCGGUACCUUAUUAACGCUGAGGUGUGAUGACGAGGCACUACGGUGCUGAAGUGAUAAAUGCCCUGCUUCCAGGAAAAGCCUCUAAGCAUCAGGUAACACGAAAUCGUACCCCAAACCGACACAGGUGGUCAGGUAGAGAAUACCAAGGCGCUUGAGAGAACUCGGGUGAAGGAACUAGGCAAAAUGGUGCCGUAACUUCGGGAGAAGGCACGCUGAUA